AUUGAACGCUGGCGGCAGGCCUAACACAUGCAAGUCGGGCGAACGGCGGACGGGUGAGUAAUGUAUGGAGACUGCCUGAUGGAGGGGGCUCACUCCUGGAACAGGUAGCUACUCCCGCCUACCAUCCGUUAACCCAUAUGGGAUUAGCUUGUGGGUGAGGUAACGGCUCACCUAGACGCCGAUCCCUAGCUGGUCGGAGAGUAUGAUCAGCCACACGGGGAAUGAGACACGGCCCAGACUCCUACGGAGGCAGCAGUGGGGAAUAUUGCACAAUGGGCGAAAGCCUGAUGCAGCCAUGCCGCGUGUAGGAAGAAGGUCUUCGGGUUGUAAAGUACUGUCAGUCGGGAGGCGUUACCUACAGAAGAAGCACCGGCUAACUCCGUGCCAGCAGCCGCGGUAAUUC
rnacentral:rRNA from 1 species